GGCCGCCUGGCGAAAUGGCAUCGCGUCUGACUACGAUUGUGUCUUUAUGAUAUCGCCAGAUCAGGAGAUUGCAGGUUCGACCCCUGCGGUGGUCA